UUUUUUUAAAAAAAAACAUGGCUGAACCUGAUCGCGUUGCCUACGUACCCCUUCAUAAGGAGAAUCAAGCCAUACGUAGUUCUGUUUAAGUUUCAAAAACGUAGCAAAAAAAUCGAAUCAAACAAUUUAAUUCAUACAUGCUUACAAGAUCAAAUCUAGAAAUCAGCAUCUUAAGAACACAUAGGAUUAUGUCGGAAUUGUUUAAACAAUUAUGCUAAAACUUUCAUGCAUGAUUAACUAUCAGAUCUGAAACUUAAGAACUCUAUUCCAAUUAAUCUUCGAAUAUCUAUCGAAUGAAUUCUGGAGAUAUCUCCGUGAGGAGCCCCAAAAAAGGGUAAAACCUCGGGAAAUCGGACCUAGAUAUUGACACCAUAAUAAAUGUUUAAUGCUAGAUUAAUACCUUUUAUGAUGGAUAAAAGUUGUGGAUCUGAUCCUUGACAUCGCAGCCACGCACACGAAUGGCCUCUAUGAGAAGUACACGCAAAGUUUCUGAAGAGAUCCAAUCCUGCGGAAGUGCUAGCUUGCGCAGAAUUUCUUGAGGCUGAAAUUUGAUCUUCCCAACGCUAUCAACUUUUGAAUCGCCUUCUUGGAAGAACUUGGAGAAAAGGUUUGGAGGGAUUGAAGAGGACCUAGAUUUGAUCUAAAGACUCUUAUCAGGGACCCCUAACACUAAUGGUGCGAUGGACUUAGAGGAGGAAGAAGUCGGCUAGAUUGAAUGCAGAAUUUUUCCAUGCAUGAACUAGGGUUCCUCUCUUU
rnacentral:lncRNA from 1 species